rnacentral:lncRNA from 10 species
GCGGGCGCCUGUAGUCCCAGCUACUCGGGAGGCUGAGGCAGGAGAACGGCGUGAACCCGGAAGGCGGAGCUUGCAGUGAGCGGAGAUCGCGCCAUUACACUCCAGCCUGGGAGAGACAGAGCGCUCAUUUUUCAUUCCCAAAAGGGCUUCUUUUCAGUUUCUCUGACCCUCGGGCAUCUUUCUCCCAGCCCCCUUGUUUCAGUUUCCUGCUUGCCCACCAAUAACCUCGUUAGAGCCACACCACACACAUGGUUCGCCUGCUGCUGACAACAGACAGAGCUCAUGGGCAAUUUUAAUAGUGCAGAUGUUAUUUCUCUUCUUCUCAGAGGAACGGCCUCUGAGAGCCCCACAGUGAUGGGGCUAUAACCCCAGAAACCUGAGGGAUCUGUCUCCAUAACCCAAACACCUCCCACCAAGCCCCACCUCCAACACUGGUAAUCACAUUUCAACAUUAGAUUUGGAGGGGACAAAUAUCCAAACUCAUCCACUAGAAAUCACUCCGACCCCCACAUUCUAGCCUUUGGAACCAAAAGGACUUAUCUAGCAUAUGUGGUAUCACUGGAAUUGUCACUUUGAAAAGAUUAGUCUUAUCCUAUAUAAACAUAUGAGGCCCAGGAUGGAGAAGUGGUUAGGAACACAGAUGCUGUGGUCAGACUUCCCAGGCUCUGCCAUUUACUAGCUGUGUGAUAGGCAAGUUUCUUAACUUCUUUAUGACUUAGUUUGCCCACCUGUAAAAUGGAGAUAACAGGUGGUGAGGAGAAAUGGGAUAAUGCAGCAAAAAUGUGUAACAAAAAGGAAACCUUCCAUAAAUGGUAACUAUGAUUAUUGUUCCCCUAGUAGAAGUUGUCCCUGGAGGGCCUGUCCUACACUUAGAAAAAGAUCCCUGGAGCAAAUUCCCUGCUCCCACUUCCUAGAGCCCUAACAAGUAAUAUCUCUGCUAAUACUUUGUCAUAGGCUCUUUCUGUUUGUUUUUAAGACAAAGAGGCUUGAAAUGAGACAAAGGAAAAACAAGUACCAGAAUUGCAAAGUUAACAUUUUUAUUGAACUGAAAUUGGUGUAGAACAGGGGCAACCACAGCUGCUGAGCUCUGUAACAACUGAAAAGCCCCUGUGACAUUUUACCUUUGAGAGUCCUAACACGGUUUGAGUGGAACAGCUGAGAAACAGCAUAUAUAUAUUUUAACACCUCAAAAUAGUUUGAAAUGAGCCUCACAGCCUUGUUCAAUCUUCAGAUUACAAAUAACAUUGAUAGCAUCUCCUGUGGCCUUCAGUUAGUAGUGCCAGUUAAUAUUGUUUCUGAAAACUUUCCUCUCAAAGUGCUGGCUAUAAUUUUUUCUCCAUCCAGUACACAUAAGAAAAGGAUUUAGUAACACUUGGGCAAGUAAUAAACUGUAGAACUUUAAAAGUAGUAAAGGCAUAUACCAAGCAUACGUGACUCCACACAUUGUCAGAAAGGCAGUGGACUGGCUAACGAGUUUCUGCCAAGUUUCAGAAGCAAAGAAUGCACUAAUGAAAAGGGUAAGGCAUCCAAGCAGAGUGUCUGAAUUGAUGGACCACUUUUGUCUAAAACUAAUUUCAACAUCUUCCAAUAUGCAAGCAGGCAUUUGUUUUACAUAAGGUGAAACACUUUAUAAGAGAAAAGAAAACUCCUAUAAAGCUUAUAAGAUCAGAAAAAAUUAAUACUGAAUUUUUAUAAUCAAUGCAUGGAGCAAUGAUAUAAACUGACCAUAACAAUUUUGUGAGAACAAGUAUAAAACUAUCCAUUACUACCUUAAAGAGUUGAAAGUUAAGCCCUCUAAAGUAUUCAAAG